GAUGAAGAACGUAGCGAAAUGCGAUAAGUAAUGUGAAUUGCAGAAUUCAGUGAAUCAUCGAAUCUUUGAACGCACCUUGCGCCCUUUGGCCAUUCCGAAGGGCAUGCCUGUUUGAGUAUCAUGAACACCUCAACUCUUCAUGGUUUUCCGUGAUGAGCUUGGACUUUGGGGGUCUUGCUGGCCUAUGGUCAGCUCCUCUAAAAUAAAUCAGCUUGCCAGUGUUUGGUGGGUAUCACAGGUGUGAUAACUAUCUACGCUUGUGGUUUUCCACCAGGUAACCUUCAGCAGUGGAGGUUCGCUGGGGCUCACAGAUGUGUCUCUCCUCAGUGAGGACAGCUCUUUGAAUGUUUGAUCUCAAAUCAGGUAGGACUACCCGCUGAACUUAAGCAUAUCAAUAAGCGGAGGA
rnacentral:misc_RNA from 1 species